GACCAGACUCCUACGGGAGGCAGCAGUGGGGGAUAUUGCACAAUGGGGGAAACCCUGAUGCAGCGACGCCGCGUGAGUGAAGAAGUAUUUCGGUAUGUAAAGCUCUAUCAGCAGGGAAGAAAAAAGACGGUACCUGACUAAGAAGCCCCGGCUAACUACGUGCCAGCAGCCGCGGUAAUACGUAGGGGGCAAGCGUUAUCCGGAUUUACUGGGUGUAAAGGGAGCGUAGACGGCAAUACAAGUCGGAAGUGAAAUACCCGGGCUCAACCCCCGAACUGCAUUUGAAACUGUUGGUCUUGAGUAUCGGAGAGGCAGGCGGAAUUCCUAGUGUAGCGGUGAAAUGCGUAGAUAUUAGGAGGAACACCAGUGGCGAAGGCGGCUUACUGGACUGUAACUGACGUUGAGGCUCGAAAGCGUGGGGAGCAAACAGGAUUAGAUACCCCUGUAU
rnacentral:rRNA from 1 species